rnacentral:rRNA from 1 species
AACCGGUAAAUACAAACUAUAUGUUUAAAAUCCAAAGAAUUUGGCGGUAUCUUAAAUAAUCAGGGGAACCUGUACCUUAAUUUGAUAAUCCACACACCUCUAACCAUAUUUUGAAUUUCAGCCUGUGUACUGCUGUCGUCAGUAAACCUCUAAAAGCAAGUUUACAAUAAUAAUAUCUAUUCACGUCAAGUCAAAGUGCAGCCAAUAAUAUGGAGGAUAUGGGUUACUAUUCCAAUAAGAAAACGAAUUAUUAAAAAUAAAAAUAAUAUGAAGGUGGACUUGACAUGUAAUAUUUAUAAAACACUAAUAUAAACAAUAAUCUAAGAUAUGCACACAUCGCCCGUC